rnacentral:rRNA from 1 species
AGAGAGAGACAUGCGCGCAUAUCAAUAAGCGGAGGAAAAGAAACUAACAAGGAUUCCCCUAGUAACGGCGAGUGAAGCGGGAAGAGCUCAAAUUUGAAAUCUUAAAGGGUUCUACCUUGACGAAUUGUAGUUUAAAGAAGUGUUUUCUGUUGGAGUUUUGGUAAAAGUUCUUUGGAAUAGGACAUCAUAGAGGGUGAGGAUCCCGUAUUUGACCAUUAUUUCCAGCUUUGUGAUACACUUUCAAAGAGUCGGAUUGUUUGGGAAUGCAGUCCAAAAUGGGUGGUAAAUUUCAUCUAAAGCUAAAUAUUGGCGAGAGACCGAUAGCGAACAAGUACCGUGAGGGAAAGAUGAAAAGAACUUUGAAAAGAGAGUUAAACAGUACGUGAAAUUGUCAAAAGGGAAGCGUUUGACACCAGUGUUGUUUUCUCGAAAAUCAAUUAAAAAAGGCAGGAUUUUGUGUUGUAUUGACUUUAUCAGCUUUCUGCACUCUUUUCUUGUCUUUUUUAAUGCACUUUUCGUUUAACAAGUCAACAUCAAUUUCUUUUGUUGUAAAAGGGUCAUUGGAAGGUGGCUUUCUUUUCGGAGAAAGUGUUUAUAGCCUUUGGCCUCUGCAAUCGGAGAGAUUGAGGUCUGCAGCGUAGAUCCUUCGGGGUUAGAUACAUUUGUGCUAAGUUAUAGCCUUUCAUAGACAACUUGUUGACUAUGAUCAGUCAUGUAGCUUACUCGCUUAUGCUAUUUUACCUACGCUUAGGAUGUUGAUGUGAUACUGCGAGCA